AUUUAUAUAGUUUAAGAAAACAUUACAUUUUCACUGUAAAGAUAAAGGCUAACUUUUAUAAAUA
rnacentral:tRNA from 1 species